rnacentral:rRNA from 1 species
GUGCCAGCAGCCGCGGUAAUGCGGAGGGUGCGAGCGUUAAUCGGAAUUACUGGGCGUAAAGGGCGCGUAGGCGGUCGCGCAAGUCGGGUGUGAAAGCCCCGGGCUCAACCUGGGAAUUGCAUUCGAUACUGCGUAACUAGAGUCUGGUAGAGGGAAGCGGAAUUCCGCAUGUAGCGGUGAAAUGCGUAGAUAUGCGGAGGAACACCAGUGGCGAAGGCGGCUUCCUGGACCAAGACUGACGCUGAGGCGCGAAAGCGUGGGGAGCAGACAGGAUUAGAUACCCUGGUAGUCCACGCCCUAAACGAUGAGGACUAGACGUUGGGGGAUAAAACCCUUUAGUGUCGCAGCUAACGCGUGAAGUCCUCCGCCUGGGGAGUACGGCCGCAAGGUUGAAACUCAAAGGAAUUGACGG